UACGGAGGGUGCGAGCGUUGUCCGGAAUCAUUGGGCGUAAAGGGCGCGUAGGUGGCCCGGUCAGUCAGUGGUGAAAGCGCGGGGCUCAACUCCGCGUCGGCCAUUGAUACUGCUGGGCUUGAGCACUGUAGAGGCAGGCGGAAUUCCGGGUGUAGCGGUGGAAUGCGUAGAGAUCCGGAAGAACACCGGUGGCGAAGGCGGCAUCCUGGACUGGUCCUGACGCUCAGGAGCGAAAGCGUGGGGAGCGAUCCGG
rnacentral:rRNA from 1 species